AGCUUUGUGCAGUGGCAGUAUCAUAGCCAAUGAGGUUUAUCUGAGGCGCGAUUAUUGCUAAUUGAAAACUUUUCCCAAAGAAAUACUCUUGAAUAUUCUAACGAUAUUUUAAAAUUAUUAUUAUUAUUACUGGCCAUGCUAUGCAGUA
rnacentral:snRNA from 1 species